GAGAGUUUGUGUUCUUUCUUUUACACUAAAGGAAUCUGCAUGAUUUUUAAUGAUAAUUUAUUUACUUGCAUCAAAGGUACCAUUGAAACAUUGUGUACAUGAUAGAUGUCCAACAUGUUGACAAUGAAAUGAAAACAGCUGCUUUCCUAUUAUGUCAUUAUUUUUUUGGUCCAGGCCAUUUAUGCACAGUUAACCAAAAUGAGCUCAACACCCCCAUCUUCAAUCACUUUGUGCUUAAAACCCUCAUGUUUAAUAUUUAAAAGGUUGUUAAACUUCACUGUGAACAUGAUGUGACAUAAACAAACUCUCUGUGGAGCCUAAACUGAGUAGAAAAAAAGUAUGUGUAUUUGUACACACUUUACUCUUUACUGGUGGCCGUGCUUAUACUUACGCUCACUGUUCUCUGGAAUAAACAGAUUAUUCAUCAGCUUAUUUUAGAAGUAUGAAAGCCUGACCAGGAAGCCAAACACACUUCAACACUCACACUCUGUUUUAUCACACACGUUUAACUGAAAGUACUCUUAAUCCAAAGAUAAAUUAAAUACAUCCAUUUUAUUAGGAACAGCUGAUCCUCAGCCACAUAUUCAUUUUAAUAAUCUGUAAAAGCAUCAUUGAUGACCUGCUUGUAUUCAAAUGGUACUUAAAGUAAUUUUUCUUCCUCUAGUGGUCAUGAAUGAAACAAUCAGUGUUUUUUUAAACAGCUGUGAAUGUAAUGUUCCAGUUUGACCUCCGGGUGGCAGUGUUGUCUCACGUUGGCUAAGCAUACAGAAGAAUAUACUGUAAGAACAUGUGUUAAAGCAUUAAAAAGUGAUUUUUUAAAAAACGAUUUUUUUCCCUUCUUCACCAGAUUCAACAAAAGGCACACCACUCAGAAUUCUUCUAAACAUCUGGAUAUUAAUAUUUGUCCCCCACACCCCAAAGAACACAUAUAAUCUUAAUUACAGAUCAGUGCAGAAGAAUUUAUCCACUGCAAUAUUUCAGUUUGACCUCAUAUGGCAGUGUGUUUUUUAUGACCCAGACUAUAAAUAACAUCCAGCCAUC
ensembl:lncRNA